rnacentral:rRNA from 1 species
CCUACGGGAGGCAGCAGUAAGGAAUAUUGGUCAAUGGACGAAAGUCUGAACCAGCCAUGCCGCGUGGAGGAUGAAGGUCCUCUGGAUUGUAAACUUCUUUUAUAUGGGACGAAAAAAGGCUUUUCUAAGUCGUCUGACGGUACCAUAUGAAUAAGCACCGGCUAACUCCGUGCCAGCAGCCGCGGUAAUACGGAGGGUGCAAGCGUUAUCCGGAUUCACUGGGUUUAAAGGGUGCGUAGGUGGAUUGCCAAGUCCGUGGUGAAAUCUUCGAGCUU